GCACAAGCGGUGGAGCAUGUGGUUUAAUUCGAUGGUACGCGAAGAACCUUACCUGGGUUUGACAUCAAGGUAGUAGCAAGGUGAAAGCCGAGCGACCCUUCGGGGAGCCUCGACAGGUGCUGCAUGGCUGUCGUCAGCUUGUGUCGUGAGAUGUUGGGUUAAGUCCCGCAACGAGCGCAACCCCCGUCGUUAGUUACAAGUGUCUAACGAGACUGCUGGUAUCAAACCGGAGGAAGGUGGGGAUGACGUCAAGUCAGCAUGGUCUUUAUGUCCAGGGCUACACACACGCUACAAUGGCCGGUACAACAGGUUGCUACCGUGUAAACGGAUGCUAAUCCCCAAAGCCGGUCUCAGUUCAGAUUGUCGUCUGCAACCCGACGGCAUGAAGGCGGAGUUGCUAGUAACCGCGCGUCAGCCAUAGUGCGGUGAAUACGUUCCCGGGC
rnacentral:rRNA from 1 species